CUUAAAAUUUUAAUUCAUCUUCAACAAAAAUAAAAAAUUACUAUUAAAUUUUAUUAUAAUUCUAAAGACAAAAAAUUUUCUAAUUCUUCUUAAUUAUCAUCUAUAUAUUGAUCUAUCAUUAAAUUAGAAUUAAAUAUGCUAAAUUACAUUCAAAUAAUUCAUUAACAACUAUAUAUAAAAAAUAAAUUAAAUGAAAUUCAAAGUGUAAUUUCUACUUAAAGAACAAGAUUCUUUAAUAAUUAAGUACCGCCAAAUAAACUAACUUUAACUAUUACAUUAAUUACUAUUUAAAUUUCAUUAAUUUUUCUAGGGUAUCUAAUCCUAUUAACUUAAAUUAAUUAAAAUUGAAAAUUCAUAAUCAAAUUAAAAUCUAAAAAUUUCACUUAAAUAUUUUAAUUAAAAUCAAACCUAAAUUUCAAGUACAAAGAAAUUUUAAUUUCACCAAUCAUGUA
rnacentral:rRNA from 1 species